GGAUUAGAUACCCUGGUAGUCCACGCCGUAAACGUUGUGUGCUUGGUUUGGGCAGAUUCAACCCUGUCCGAAUCGGAGCUAACGUGUUAAGCACACCGCCUGGGGACUACGGCCGCAAGGCUAAAACUCAAAGGAAUUGACGGGGACCCGCACAAGCGGUGGAGCAUGUGGCUUAAUUCGAGGCAACGCGAAGAACCUUACCUGGGCUUGACAUAUAUUUGACUGCCUGUGAAAGCAGGUUUUCUUCGGACAAGUAUACAGGUGCUGCAUGGCUGUCGUCAGCUCGUGCUG
rnacentral:rRNA from 1 species